UACGUAGGGUGCAAGCGUUAAUCGGAAUACUGGGCGUAAAGCGUGCGCAGGCGGUUUUGUAAGUCUGUCGUGAAAGCCCCGGGCUCAACCUGGGAAUUGCGAUGGAGACUGCAAGGCUUGAAUCUGGCAGAGGGGGGGUAGAAUUCCACGUGUAGCAGUGAAAUGCGUAGAGAUGUGGAGGAACACCGAUGGCGAAGGCAGCCCCCUGGGUCAAGAUUGACGCUCAUGCACGAAAGCGUGGGGAGCAAACAGG
rnacentral:rRNA from 1 species